GUUUUUCCUAGCAAUAAUUUGAAGAAAUUUAUAAAUUCACUAAGCCAUGAAAAUUUUCCUGUGCGUGGUCACUCUCACAAUUUUUGCGGCUUGCUCGAAAGCCGACGAAGUUCCGCCAAAAUUUAAAACCCGGGAAGAUGCCGGGGUCGUGGUGCGGGGCAAGCUUUUCGAUAAACUCUUUGCCACGUAUAUAAAGGAAAACUACGCGGAGAAUACCACCGUCCAGGUCGGCAUGGCUCUAUAGGAUGUCAACUUUGAUGCCGAUAAAGAUGUAAUGAAUACGAACGUAUGGAUGAAAAUGAUUUGGUUCGACUAACCGGCUAACUUGGGACGAGUCUGAAUUUGCCAUUAACGUCCUUCGUGUUCCCGCCGAGAAAGUUUGGCUGCCAGAUAUCACCUUGUACAAUGGUGUGAAACCGAGUAUGGAUUGCGCCCCGAUGAACGUGCUGGUAUAUCCGAACGGGGAAGUUUUAUGGGUGCCGCCCUGCCGGCUGCAGUCCUACUGCAACCUGACUCUGAACCUUGGCCCGUACGAGGAGCAAAUCUGCACCCUUAAGUUCGGCUCUUGGACCUUUGACGGUUUCACGAUGGGUCUCGAACUCUCUAAUAAUAAAACACUCGUCGACAUGAAAAACUUUCAUAAUCUGAAUUACAAAGUGACCAAGAAUACGGCCGUGAGGGAAGAGCGGACCUACGACUGCUGUGUGGAACCAUAUUUCAAUAUCCUUUACACGCUCGGAUUCCAACGAAAAGCGGAAGUUGGGCGAAUUUGUGAGGAACAUUGAUGAGAAAAAAAUAUGGAUUUUAUUUGCACAUUGAUGGCCUCUGAUUUACCUCUCUUUUCAUGGAGCAGGUAGGUGACUAUGUAUUGCACGGAUUUAAAAUAAUAAUAAAAUUAAUGAAAACAAAGAUAAAAUUCAAAUUAUCACAUCAAUUUGCCCAAAUUAAAGAUAAAUUCUGUUCAAAUAGCUAAAAGUAAAUGUGUUCAAGUGAAGCAAAAAUUAAUUAAAUAUCUUACAGAAAAUUGCAUCAAUAUUUAUGUGUUUUGUAUUGUAAAUAAAUUUUAGUAACAAUUAGUUACGCCUUAGGGACAUUCAUAAAUAACGUAACACGAGAGAGGGGGGAGGUUACGGCUGCAAUGACUUCCUUCCUAUUCGAAACAAGUCACCUAAGUGGGGUCUA